rnacentral:rRNA from 1 species
GAUCCUGGCUCAGGACGAACGCUGGCGACGCGCCUAACACAUGCAAGUCGAACGAGCGAGAGAGAGCUUGCCUUCUCGAGCGAGUGGCGAACGGGUGAGUAACGCGUGAGGAACCUGCCUCAAAGAGGGGGACAACAGUUGGAAACGACUGCUAAUACCGCAUAAGCCCACAGCUCGGCAUCGAGCAGAGGGAAAAGGAGCAAUCCGCUUUGAGAUGGCCUCGCGUCCGA